rnacentral:lncRNA from 1 species
GAAACGGUUCGAUCGAUGGUUAAGGGAAGGCCGCACGAGAGAUGGCCUCGUCCACAAAGAACCACCUGCUCGAUCCCCAUCUGCCCCAGCGACAGCUAGGGUUCCUAGCCGUCGCCAGCGCCAUCACCGCCCUCCAUCGUUGUGUGCCAAGCCGUCGGCGUCGACUCCCGCGUCCGCCUCCCUACCGCGACAUCCUCCUUCAUCCAUUGCUCACCGGACCCCCUGCAUCCGCCUCCCAACCGUGACCUCAUCCCUCAUCGACCGCUCGCCGGAGCAGUGACCAGCAAGGGUCGCCGCUCGCGCUGACGACGGUGACACCUCCCUCUGCCCUGCCGCGACCUCCUACCUCCUCCACUGGUCGCCAGACCAUCUCCAUCGGCCUCCCCGCAGCAACCUCCUCCCUCCUCUGCUUGACGAACCAGUGAAAAACAAGGGUCGCCGCUCGCAUUGACGUCAGCAGCGCCUCUCACUCCCCAUCGUGACCUCCUCCCUCCAUUCUCCAAGGUAGUUGCAAGCCAUUCCUCCCACUCCCAUUCCUCUCCCACCUCUUGUACAAGUUGAAAUAGGAUGAAUUUUUAUGCUCUAUCUAUUAUAUUCUUGUGUAGAUGGAUGCAAGGAUGGAGGAGUGUCUAGAAAGGGACAAGGGGGAAUGAAACUUCUUGCUAUUGAAUCCAUAGAUGGAUCACAUGUCCCAGUGACGGUCCCUGCACAUGACGCGGUUAACCUUAGAUGUCGGCAUGAUUUUAAAUCUCAGAAUGUGCUUGCAAUAUGCGACUUUGCUAUCAUGUGGACUCUCGAUAUGCAAACUGAACAUGAUAUCUUGCUCCUUUUAAGGGGAGUACGUACCAUCUACCAAAAGUUCAUAUUCGGCGUCACCGUCCACCUCAAGGGAAGUAUGAGUUAUUAAACUUUUCACAUUUGUCCCUUCACAAUGUCGUUGAGCAUGCUUUUGUGGUGCUCAAGAAGAAACGACACAUAUUGAAAGGGGUCCCUAGUUUCUCACCUCGUACGCGAAAGCAUAUCAUCAUUGCUUGCAUGACAUUGCACAACUUCAUUCGUGGUAGCAAAUUGAGUGACUAAAUUUCUGAUAAAUGUGAUGCAGAUGAUGAGUAUGUACCCCAGUGCUACGACAAGUAGUACCACCAACGCAAGCGGAUCACAUUGAAGAGGAGGAGAACGAAGAUACCAUGGAUGCUAUUCGUAGUAGGAUAGCCGAUGGUUGUCUUGCGAUAGCAACCUAGGUUAGCUAUCUUGAUGGAGGUCAUCAUCAUGUGAACCAUAUGUACAUUCCAUGAUGCAUGCAUUUUGUAAAAUUAUUAUGGGUCAAUAUCUAUUUAUAUGUAACUAGCAAGGUGGCUCUCGCAAAUGCGAGGGCAUCAUCUUCUCCGUGUAAUUAAAAUGUGAAGUGCUUCAAUCAUGAUUCUUUUCACUAGAUACUCUCAUCAUAAAAUUAGAAACAAAUUAGUUUGUAGGCUAAUGGUAAGAGUAAGACUGUUCAUUCUCACAUAGGGUGGAUAUGUUGGGUGUCUUAUUCUUCGGAAAGAUCAUGUAAUGUAAAUCAAAAUUAUCGUCAAGGACACAUAUCACG